GGGGCCUGGGCCUGGACAACAUGGCCGCCCCCAGGGUUAGAGCCGCUUGUCCUCCAGCCGCCUGGUCUCUCUUGAUGAGGAUUUAACCUCUGGUCAUUAGGUCCUGCCUGCUACCUUUGUUUCAGGUUAGCUCAAUCCCAGGCCUAACCAGCGUUUUCCUGGAGCCCACCCCAGGGCCAGGCCCUCUCAGCUAGAACAUCUCUCUCAGGUAAGGCGACUCCUGAGCUCUGAGCCCACAGCCCCACUGCCUCCUGGCUCUGCCCCUCCUCCGUGGGACUCCAUCUUUUACACCUAAAAAGAGUGUGGGUGGUGAAAUCUGAGUCGGGGUUAGAAAACGGAAAGGGGCAAUUGUGGCCCAGCUGCUGCCCCAUGGGGGCUGGGAGCUAGUUUCAAUCCCCCACAUUCCUCCAGCCCCGCCCUCCUCCUCUCUAGACCAACUCUGCUUUUCCUCCUGCUCCAUUCUCCCUCUUCUCCUUCCCCUUAUCCCACCCCAGCAGUAAUAAGGCUGUGUCCUGUGGCCUUUCACUACAGGUCAGUGCCCCUUUCCCUGACUUUUGGCCCCUAUUGCAGCCCCGCAAAAACACCCACCAUAAGCACUCUCUGAGGGUAAGGAAGGGAGCCUGCAGUCUCCAGAUGGGCAAAAGCAAGAGUCUGGUGCCAUUUAAGCCCCGAGACCAAACCCCUCUUUGCCGCCAGCCCGGGCCCCUCAAUCACCAGCCCUCUAGAGGCCAGGCCCCUGUGUUGCCCUCGGAGCCAGCUGGCAGGGUCAGGGCCUCCGCAGUCAGAGAAGUGCCGAGUCCUUUCCUGAAAGGCAUUGGAGUCGAUUCUGCAACCUAAAUCUUCACCUCCUCAUCAUGGGGGCCUCUGUUUAUAGAAAUGUGAGCUAGGCAGGGGCUUUUUCUGAUUUUCAUUCUUUGGAGGGAUAGAGGACAGAGUGUUUGUUGAUUUUUCGUUUCGGUUUCAGUUUGGUUGUCAUUGGUUUUUGUUUUUUGCUAAUUUUGCCCCACCCUAUAAAAAGCAGUGCCACCCAGAGGCAGGGGAGGGCCCUGAGGAGCACGGGGUCGCCGUGCACUCAUUCCUACUUCCUUCUCCACCUGUCCCAGCUGCUUCCUUUGGUUACCAUCUCCAAAUCUGAGGGUAAAGGAGGGGGUGAGGGAGAAGUUUCUUGUUGCACCAAGAGGCACUGCUUCCAGGCCUGGAGCUCUGAAUGACCUGUGUCCCCAUUCUCAGGUCUGUGCUAGCACAGCCCCCUGGGACGGAGGGACACUGGCAGGAUACAGGCCUUUCCACGUCUGGCCUUUUGCAGCUGCACCCCAGGAUGUAGAAGCCUUGAGUUGGGCUCUGAAGGCUCAAUUUCUACCCUGACUUCUCCAGUGAGGGUGUGAGUAGGCUUCGUGUGGAAAUGCCCACAAAACAAAUGCAACACUCAAGUCCGUCGGUGGAAAGAUAUGGCCAACAGGGGCAGGACCCUCGAGGAUCACUUCUGCUUGCUGGGAGUGGGGCUGCCUCCCUGGCCAGAGCAGCAACCAAGACACACAGAGAAGCCCUGGAGGCUGGGAGGCUUUCCCUUUGACUCUAGGGCUCUCAAACCCAGAGAUAAAAUGCCAGGGCUCUUCGCUCCUCCAAGCAGUUGUCUCCCGUCCUGCUUUGGGUCUGGGGACCUCUGCAGGUGGUUCCCGUUCUGCUCCACAGGGCUCAGCUCCUCUCUGGCUGAGCCACGGUGGCUGGUAAGAAGAGCUCCACCCUCUGGGUCCUGGUUACGUGGGCCCCCUGGUCCCUGUAAGGUGGAUGGGGUGAUGCGGAAGAGCAGAGGGGUGAAGGCGGAUGGGGACAACAGCAGCAGGGUCAGAAGAGGGUGGCAGCAUCUCAGACCACAGCCGAGGAGGAAGAUGGGGAUGAGGAGGAGGCUGCCGAGGAAGACGGGGAGGAUGGACUGUUCCAGAAGAGCCAACGCCGUUUGGGCUGCCGCUUGAGGUGGAGGUAGUCCUCCUUCUCACGCUCCUUCCGUGCCCGCUGGUAAUGAUCUUCCUCCUUCAGGUACCACACAGGUGGCCACCGAUGCUUCUCGAAAUACUCCUGGUUUUCUGGGGACAUGGCCUUCAUGUCUCGGGGGAACUUGCGGCACACGUUGUUGUAGUUGGUGCAGAUGUGGUGGAGACACCAGUCGGCCAGCUGGUACGCACAGUGGAACUGAGAAGGUGCCUUUUGCCAAGCACUCCUUAACCCGGUUGGUCCGGCGGACGUGGAAGGCCUUGGUGAUCUCCUGGUUCAUGAAGGCCUCAUUGUUGAGAAUGUUGGCCACCAUCAUGCGCAGAUCAAAGACCUCGAGCAGCUCAGCAAUGUGGGCAAUGUGCAUGAGGUCACGCUCGUUCUCAUCUAGCUCCCCCGUGUACAGGUACUUGAGGACAGCCCGGAAGGGCCCCGGCUGGAUGGAACUGUCCAUCUUCACCACCACCAUCAGCCGGGAUUUGUAGGUGAGAGGAUCUUCUGCCAUCUCUUCCUGGAUGCUCACAAAAGCUCGGCUCCAGGAAGACAGCACACGACCCCUGCCCGGUAGGUACCCUGUUCCGUUGCCCCGUAAGAUCCCGUCGCUGGUGGAAGCACGGAGGCCAGCAGGACCGGAGCCCCCAGCCUCAUCCACGCUCUCGCACACGUCAAAGCUGGCUGCUCGGAGCAGGAAGUCUCGCCCAUGGUGGUGGUGGUGAUGGUGGUGGUGUUGAUCAGAGUGGCCCUGGUGGUCCUCUGGGUGGGUGCCCCCUGGCUCCGAGGGGCCCCCCAGCUCCCCCUCACUCAGGUCCAUGAGGAACAGGUCAUAGAACUUGGAGGAAGAGGUGGAGAGGUAGAUCUUGUGGGCAAAGAUGCGCACCCGCUCCUGCAGCACCAGGAUGACGUCCGCGCAGAGCGGGUCCUCCAGGAGGUGGGCGGGGCACUCCUCGCUGCUGGAGGGAGGGUCGGGCACCACGAUGAUCGGGGGCGGUGGCUUGGGGGGUAGGAAGGGUGCCUGCAGCAGAGGCCGCUGCACAUUGCGGAGGUGGGACUUCCAGAACUGCAGGUGGCGGCGGGAGAUGAGUGCAGCUCGGAUGGCGUUGUCAAAGACGUCCUUGAUGCCGAACUGGGCCACCACGCUGGUCUCAUAGUAGGGGAUGCCCAGCUCCUUGGCCACCUCCCGACCCUUCUCUGGGGGCAGGAUUUCAUUAGGUUUGAUGGGCCUGGUAGGUUCAAGAAGGAAACCAAGCUUGUGUUGGUGGUGGAGGGAGGCUGCCUGUUCUUCCACAGGCUGGAGGGACUCUGCUCAGGAUCUGGGUGCCAAUCCCCACCCACUCCUGCCCUGCUCUGUCUGGCCAAAUCCCAUCAAGCUCCUUCAAGGUCCACUCCAAGCCCUUUUUCUUCCAGAAAGCUUUCCCUACUAUGCCAGGCCCCAGUGACCUCCCCAGUACAAAGCCGUGACAGCACUGCCUCUCUGGCAAUUAGCAGGCAAUGCUUCACAUGGGUAUUUAACAUGCUCACAUAUUUAGUUUAUCCCUCAGCAAAAUUAUAGGACUUUUUCAUGCA
rnacentral:lncRNA from 1 species